rnacentral:lncRNA from 1 species
CAGGGUAGAAUUGCUUCCAUCAAUCCUCCUAUCUCUCCUCACCGGAAGGCGAGUGUUUCCAUCCACCUGGUCUCUCCCCAUAAGGCGGUUCAUUCCUUCCACCAUGUCUUUCCUCCCCAAAAGGCGGUCCCUCCUCCCCGAAAGGUGGCCGCUCCUCCCCAUAAGGUGGUCUCUCCCCCCUGAAAGGUGGUCUCUCACCCCCGAAAGGUGGCCUAUCUUCCCCGUAAGGUGGUCUCUCGCCUCUGAAAGGUGGCCUAUCUUCCCCGUAAGGUGGUCUCUCCUCCCUGUAAGGUGGUCUCUCUUCCCCAUAAGGUGGUCUCUCCUCCCUGUAAGGUGGUCUCUCUUCCCCGUAAGGUGGCCUCUCCUCCCCAAAAGGUGGUCUCUCCUCCCCAAAAGGUGGUCUUUCUUCCCCAUAAGGCGGCUCAUUCCUCCCACCAUGUCUCUCCUCCCCAUAAGAUGGUUCAUUCCUUCCACCUAGUCUCUCCUCCCCAAGAGAUGAUUGUUUCCAUCCACCCGGUAUUUCCUCCCCAUCAGAUGACUGUUUCCAUCCACCAGAGCCCUCCUCACCAU